rnacentral:tRNA from 1 species
GCCUGGGUGGCUUAGUUGGUUGAGUGUCUGACUUCGGCUUAGGUCAUGAUCUCCCGGUUCGUGGGUUCGAGCCCCACAUCGGACU